rnacentral:rRNA from 1 species
CCUACGGGAGGCAGCAGUGGGGGAUAUUGCACAAUGGGGGAAACCCUGAUGCAGCGACGCCGCGUGGGUGAAGAAGUAUUUCGGUAUGUAAAGCCCUAUCAGCAGGGAAGAAAGAAGACGGUACCUGACUAAGAAGCCCCGGCUAACUACGUGCCAGCAGCCGCGGUAAUACGUAGGGGGCGAGCGUUAUCCGGAUUCACUGGGUGUAAAGGGAGCGUAGACGGCCGUGCAAGCCAGGAGUGAAAGCCCGGGGCCCAACCCCGGGACUGCUCUUGGAACUGUGCGGCUGGAGUGCGGGAGGGGCAGGCGGAAUUCCGGGUGUAGCGGUGAAAUGCGUAGAUAUCAGGAGGAACACCGGCGGCGAAGGCGGCCUGCUGGACCGCGACUGACGUUGAGGCUCGAAAGCGUGGGGAGCGAACAGGAUUAGAUACCCGAGUAGUC